rnacentral:misc_RNA from 1 species
GAAAAAUUCAAAAUAAAAUAGUAAUCAACCAACACAUAUGUCUUGGGGCAAAUGGCCACUUAAUACUAUAAAAUCUCUCAAACUGUAAUAUCGUUCAUCUCUGAAGGUCGAGUUAGAGAAAGUUCGUUGACAUCAAGGAAAAGAUGAAAUAGGCUUGUCAAGUUUCCAACAGAAGUUGGAAUAGUAACAGUAAGAUUGUUAUCUGAUAAACCAAGGUGAGAAAGAGAUCUCAACAUUCCA